rnacentral:pre_miRNA from 1 species
AGUGGGAUAGCUGGGUCAAAUGGUGGUUCCAUUCCAAGUUUUCUGAGGAAUCUCCAAACCACUUUCCAUAAUGGUUGCACCAAUUUGCAGUCCCGCCAGCAAU